GCCUGCUUGGCUCAGUUGGCAGAGCGUCUGCCUAGUAAGCAGAAGGUCACUGGUUCGAUUCCAGUAGUAGGCA